GGGGUUGUACUGGUUUCGACGGGGUUUUAGAAGUUAAGGUAGCCACCCGCGGUUUGGGUCCGCGUCACCAAUCCAAACACUAAAAUAAACGCAAACAAUAAUAAAUUAGCGUACGCUGCCUAGUGGCAGCUGUCGUCCUUAAGCUUCUCGCUGCUUAAGAGUUCGGCAUAAAAUUUUGCGGGGCACUUUGUUUCCAAAGCUUUGAGGGAAUAAAAGAACUAUGAAGCUACUGAAACCUUAAGCCUGUCAUUAGGCGUCUGGUAGAGGGAAUGUCAAUAUAAUGACUGUGGUGGGAGAAGCUUUAAUGGAAGAGAUUUCGGACAGGGGUUCGAUUCCCCUCAGCUCCAUUG
rnacentral:tmRNA from 1 species